rnacentral:lncRNA from 1 species
CUCACAUUCUGGGAGCUCCUGCUACCAACUCAGUAUCCUUUUGGUUUCCCUAGUGCAGUCCAGAAACCAGAGAGAGGCUUCCCUUGGUGUUGAGUCUGUUAAACGGGAUUGUUGCAGGCAUGGGUGCUUCAGGGUUCCAAUCUUGUCCUAGGAACCUCAGUGGCUUGGCCCAUUUCUCUGCCCUAGACCUAUCUCGUUGUAACUCUCACCAUGAAAGGAGGAGGAUGACUCCUCCCUGGGCUUGCCUGCUGUGCACACCACCCGGCCAAGCACCUUACUUGUGUGCCCAUGCCAUGUCCCCAGCGCCUGGCACUGGACUCACAUUCCCUCCACCCCCCAUCUGACAGAUGGGGGAAUGAGUCCAGAAGGCUCCCCAGACCAUUCCCGGAGAGGCCCAGCCCAGAAUCCAACCCUUUUCCAAGCCAGGCUGUGACCUGAGGCUGGUGGUGUGUGUGGGGCUGCGCCUCAGUGUUGGGGACAACAGAGAUUUCCAGGACCAGAUAGCUGAGGCCCCUUAAAGCCUCCUGGCGCCUAUCUGCAGAGUGGCCCUGUAGGGUUUGGGUCC